UACGGAGGGUGCAAGCGUUGUCCGGAUUUAUUGGGUUUAAAGGGUGCGUAGGCGGCUUGAUAAGUCCGUGGUGAAAGCCAACAGCUCAACUGUUGAACUGCCAUGGAUACUGUCAGGCUUGAGUACAGACGAGGUAGGCGGAAUGGAUCGUGUAGCGGUGAAAUGCAUAGAUACGAUCCAGAACACCGAUUGCGUAGGCAGCUUACUAGGCUGUAACUGACGCUGAGGCACGAAAGCGUGGGGAGCAAACAGG
rnacentral:rRNA from 1 species